GGGCUGGGGGCCGGGUCCUGCCGCCAGCUUGGUGAGUUUGUGUGUGGAAAGCUUUUGGCUGCAAAGAGUAUAUUUAGACCCUGAGACGGUGGAUUUGGAAUGCGAGCGGGUUAUGUAACAGGGUUAAUCAGAAACACUGGAGAAAAUCCCCUUCAUGUGUUUCUGAGUUUUUUUUUUUUUUAAAGCGGGGGGGGGGGGCGGAACAUAGUAUAUACGAAGCCACACUAAUUUCUGGUUUGUGCUGCCACCCCCUUCUGUGUUAACCUCCCCCCUUCCGUGUGUUAUUAGCAUCUUCAGGUGUCAUUCUUGCCAGAAGGUGUUCUUGCAAGAGACCAGGGUGACAGGCUGCAGAACUAACAAAUCUGUAACUUGCUGUUCUUGCAAAUUAUAUAACGCUGGGCAUUCAGUACCACCAGACCCCAGGCAUAGCAAAAAGGGGAGAGGGAAAAAGUAGGGGUGGGAUGCAUCUUGCACAGCUGACCUGUUGACCUUUAUCCCCUUGCCCCCUAGAGGAUCACCCCUUCCCCUCACUCUUCUUUGAACCAUCCCCUAGUCCAUCCCUCCCAGGAUUUACUAGGGGGAGGGAGAAGAGGUAAGGCCCAAACACUCAACUCACAUCCUGCACGCAGGCACUAGGUUAUAUAACAGUCUGAAUGGAAAAAGGAAGGUCAGAGAUGGAGGCAUCCUUUAGCUAACACAGCAGUAGUAAUAGCUUCCAGAAAUUAUAUGCAUUUGCAGACUUUAACCUCAGAUGUAGUGUCUGCUCCUCAGGGAUACCAGUCUUUGUGUGUGUGACCUAGGGAGAAAAAGAGAGAAUGUGUAAGUAUGCCUGGUAGAGGAGAGUGAUUUGAAAAUGGGAAAUGUUUGGGUUUUCAGAUGAUGUAAUGGAGUUGGCAGAAUAUGCAAGCCGGCUCCCAGAGUGUAAGCAGCAAGAAAAUUGGAGCUGGCAUCCAGUAUUAAUGUUGCAUAAAUUACAAUAUCGGAGAGAAAUUAACCUAUACACUAGGUGAUUACGCCUUUUUAAUACUUAAAACAUAAAGGCACACAACUCAAAAGGAAAAGCAAACAUCAUCACCUUAUAAUUAGCAUUUUCAACCUCAGGGAGGAUUGAAUGGAGUUCUUGGCAUUGGGUGAAGUGGGAAGCUUUUGGAUUUGGGAGAUGCUUUCCAGAGAGGUAGCAGGGUUAGCUUCCAGCCAGUCGAUAUUGUGCAGUCCACAGAAACUGUGGUCUGGAUUCGCACGACAUUGAGGUGACCUCAUGAGACAUGACUUAAGUGCACUUGAAGCUGUUGCUGAAUGCCACGCUCCUGGGAAUCCCCGUGUGAAUGGACUGCGUAUCCUUAAGCGCCUGAGCUGCCCAAAUCGGAUGCGUGACUUUGUAAUCUGAAAUUCGGACCUCCCCCAGUCCUUAAAACUAGCAGAGAUCCUUAGCACUUGUACUGAAACUGUCCUGUUUUCUAGGUGGUAUUAAUGAUGGCUGGUGUCAUUCAGUACCAUCUUCACAGCACAAUGACAGGGAAAAAAGAAAGGCAAGAGACAACAGGGGAAGUAAGAAUGAGGCGGAAAAAAACACAGCGAAUCUUUAAUUUAACAAGGCUUUCAGAGACUUCAGGGAGCCAUAAGCAUUGUGACAUAACUGUUGUUAAAAACCCUUUUCCAGAAUCUCAUUAUUAUAUGCAUGCCAGAAGCUUACAUAUUGUACUUCCCUAAAGUUAUCCUCCCAGGGCUGUGUGGCACGCGGUUGGUUUGGAACACUCGUGCAGUAGGUUGAAGGCUUUUAGGGCAGGCCAACCUGAGGGAAAAAUCGAAACCAGAAGAUGGGAUUAACACUGAAAAGCUCAGUUGGGUUGAGAUUGAACCCCCUGGAAACUCAGUUUAGAUUGACGUAAAAUCAGUUAACAAGGCCUGUAGUUCAUUUGUAGCCCUGAGGACUUCUAGAACCACAUAACCCAAGUGCUUCACCUCCACACCCCGCUUUCAGUCUUGGCUGAUUCACUUUCUGGGAGGUGCCCUUCUUGCCUGGCAAUUUAGAGCCCUAUCUGGAGAUUGAUUCGCAGAUCAGCUUUUCUAACAUGGUCCUGGCUCUCCACCGUGAGCAAAUAAAUGAUGCCCCAUAGUUUGAAAGAGCUACUGGCUGGGAUAAAAUCCUUUGCUGGAGGGAUGGGAUAAUUAUUUUUUUAAACUAAGGGACUUUAAUUUUCCGGUAAAUUGCUCAUAAAAAACAUUUAUAAUUAGAGCCUUAAAAAAUGCAAUGGAAUAAUUUUAGAAAAUGCAUUUGGUGAUAGUUGUGAUAACCUUUUUUGUUGUUCCCCCCUUAUUUCUUAAAAAGAAUUGUAUUAUUAAUCCAAAAGUCAGUUCCUGAAUGGCUAAAAACUUUUGUAGCAGACUCAUUUUAUGUUAGUCACCUUUUGGAAUUUUCCAGAACCUACCGGCAUGAUGAGAAGCCUUGGCUGUAGAACAUGUCUCCCUUUCCAAAGCUGAAAUAUGGAGCCUGCAUGGAAGCUCCCUAACUAUGGGACCCUUCAGCUGGUGUUUUCAAGGCAGCAGAGGUGACAGGUGGUACACGCCUAGUUCCACACCAGGUUCCUAAGUGGGAUGUAGGGAGGUGUGAGAAUAUUCAUUGUUGUAGUUGUACCUCCAGAUGAAAUGUUCUGAGGAUUUUUCGUGAUGGCUGAAUUUCUUUUGAAAGUGAACUGACCCCUGUCCAGAGCUAACUUUUGGAAUGCGAGUGAGACAAACCCAUGGGUUCUGAUCCUGGGCCACACUUUUGUCACGUCUGACUUAAGAUGCGCGUUAUUUCUCUACAUUCUCCCAUUUUUGCCUCCAGGAUGUUGUGGUGUGAUGUGUGAAGUGCAGACUGGGUUGGAUGUCUCUGAAAAUUCUUAAGAGUGUGCUCUUCUCUGUGCCCUCAUCUUCUUAGUCUACUUGAUGGAUUGUGCUUCUUAGGUUAUAUUUGUACUUAACGUGUCUAGAGAAGCGAAAUACAUAACUACAUUUCACGUGUCUGGGAAGAAAUAAUGAUGUGACUGCCCUGUGUGUGCAAAAGUCUAUGUUUUCUAGAAAAUCCAGCUCUCUCCAUGUGACAUAACGUUCUGCUCACCCACUUUGUCUUCCGUGAGCCAUUGUUCAGGAACUCUGAGGUAGACAUCGUCUGCUCCCUCAAAGAGAUUCCUGACCAGUCAUCCCAGAUUAGUGAUAGAUUCUUCUAGAGCGACAAGAGUCUGCUUUGAAAGGCCUUCUGGUUCCAGAGUGAACAUUAACUUAGAAUGUGGAAUACCAUAGUUUGAAUAUGAAGACUAUCUGAAUAUGAAGACUGUCAUCCUUGUUGAGAACUUCUACGAACGGUCUCUCUGUCCCUCCCUCCCUCCCCGCUCUGUUCUCCCUUCUGUCAUUUUUAAAGUAGUGUUCUGGCUUUUUGGGGUGUGGGGGGAUUAUGUGUGUGUGUGUGUGUGUGUGUGUGUGUGUGUGUGUGUGCGCGAGAUUCAUAAUGGGAAGUGUUGGUUUGGAAAUGAGCUGUUCAGUUUUUCAUUCAUCUUACUAAACUGUAUGUUAAGAGAAAUAAAAGUGAAUCAUUUUGAAUUAGUGCUUUAAAAAAAAUUCUCCAGAUAAUCAGUGUUCAAGUGUUGAUUAAUAUACAGUAAAUCAUGAUUUUUCUAUUUUUCUAUAAGGGUACCAAGGCAUUACUAAUGAAUUCGUUUUUCUGGCUAACGGUAGAUUAACCAGAAAUCUUUUCUGUCUUUUUCUUGUUGAAUAUGCUUUUUAAAUGUGCUGGCCCCCUUUCCUACCCCGGAAAGAACAUUGGGAAUGUAAUUGAAUCUUUCUUUGAGGUUUGAGGAUCUUACAGUGCCACAGGGUCACUGUUCUGAGGAUGAAUUCUGAUUGUACAUUAUAGAACUGUGAAUGGAGACAGUGCCAGAGAUUGGACUAAAUCUGCCAUGAUGCCGGUGUGAAAAUUGUUUUCUUUUUCCAUUAAGUCCUCGAUAUCAGUAUGUUUUGUUAUUUGCCGUUUUGUUCUCUAACUUGCAAGGACCAAAACGAAAAUUCCCUUUAAUUAGUUAAUUCUGGUUAAUUGAGGUUUUUACUUUCUAGGAAAAUUGCACCCUGAAUCUAGAGCCCUAAUUCUUUCCCUACAGUUAUAGAGGAUGUAAAGUCAUUCUCAGAUAUUUAAGAAGACUGUUGUAUUUACAAAUAAGUUAUGUGAUAUAUUACCGUAGCAUUAUAUAACUUCUCUCCCGUGUAAUAAUGGUGGAUAGAAAUAUCAGCUAAUUUUGCCUCUUCCUUAGAUAUACUGAGGGGUAUCUAAUAAAUCUUAAAAGCUAGGAAAUUCUGGGUUGGAGAGAAGACUUUCAAGAAUAUCAAUAAAGAACAUUUAAAUUCCCCUAAAGGAGAUUCUCCUUUAAAGUUUGGGCCUUUGUUCACCGGGCCAGUAUGGAAAGCCUCCCCAGGACCAUGCCAUCAGAGGCGGACUUUCUCAGGGCCGCCCCACCUGACUUAAUGAUAGUCUGCGGUUAUCUUCUGGUAUCUUUGAUGUCUCAACAUUGCAGAUUCUUUUUAGGAGUCAUGGUGCUCUUCUGUGACAGCCCAAUUAUUAUUAUUUUGUUUUUGGAGUAAGGACAUCAAGGAGAUUGUCUAGAGAAGGCCUCGGAAGAGGGGGAGGGGGCACGAUGAGGAAUACGUGUGCCACAGCUCGUGGCUUGGCUUUUUGCUCCCACUUCUACAUGCUGAGGUUAAAAAGAAUUACAGGUAACAAUUCCCUUGUGUUGGUGGAAGAACUGUUUUGUUUUGUUUGCUUUCCUGACAGAUGUUUAUGGCCUCUGUUGACAUGUCACCAUUACAGACUGUCUUAUCACAUUAUGUGCCGUGGCACAUUGACAGUGGCUUGGGCCUGUGGCCUCCUGGUGAUUGUCUUGUGCGCAGAACCGAAGCGCUUGUGGCCAGCUGCAGAGCCCUCCGUGGUGGCCACCGCCAGUUGAGAGCGCAGGUUUCCCACUCCCUUGAAGGUGCUGGAGGUGCUGUUUUUCCUGAAGCUCAGUCAGAGGCUGGAACUGAGUAGGAAUGCUUGCGGGGUUUAGAAGCCUCAUGAUCUCCCAGCCUCGCAUCCUCUCUAGCAGUGUUAUUUGGGCAUUUGAGUUUUGAUUGUGAACUAUCUUAAAGUUUGUUUUUUUUUUCCUGAAAUAAUCCGGAAGUCCCUCCGUCCGUGAACAGACAGCGAUAGAUGAAACUCUUCUGGGGCACAAGGAAGGGUGCCACUUAGUACAGGAUCCUCAAGCCUGUGAAAGAGGCAGCGCCUUGUUAAAAAUACCUAGCUUACUUCGGGGGAGGAUUUGGCUGAAUACUGAUGAAGUUUAUGAAAUAUGAAUGUAGUGAAGUUGCUGUACGUAAGUGGUAGGCGUGUGUGAAAGAAGUAAGAAGAAAUAAAAUUGUGUAUAAAUGACACUCUGAAACUUGAUGGAAUUGUAUACGUGACAGGAAUGGUGACGUUUGGGUCUGUGCUUAAUGGGGGAAAGUAAACUGGCUUAAAAUCUAUAUGUCAAACUAGAUGUGGGACUAACAAUUAGAGAAUAUAAGAUUUUUGAACAUACUUUGUGAGCAAAGAAUGCUCCUGAGGAUAAACGGGGGGAAAAACUGAGGGACCAACACUUGAAUUUAUGAGGAGGUAUGGUAAUCACUGUUUUAAGUAAUCCAGACUAUUAACUGCCAUGCUGCUAGGUAGAGAAUUCGUUAGCCCAACAAAAGGCAUAAAUCGGAAUUUGAGGUUGUGUGGGAGAAAUCCUCUUGAUCCCCAAAGCAUAAAUGCAUGCACUGAGAAGAAAGCUGCACACGAUGUAAUUUUUUCUGUCUUAUCCUGAUUAAUUGACAGCCAACUGUAUGCCUCUUUCCUGAAGGUGACUUUACAAUCUCCAGACACAGACAUUUCUCUCCGAAGUGGAGUGAAGGAAGGAGAACCCACAAGCUAAAGGCAAUGAAAAGAGGAAAAGUUGACACUUUGAGAAGUUAUGACGAACUUGUCGAGAAUGCCAAUUGACAAAGGCAGGUAAGGGAAUACUUGGAAAAACAGAACAAGAACAGGUCUGAUGGGCAUGAUGAUCUUCUUCCUAGUGUGUUAAGGGAAUUGGCGGGCAUGUUUAUUGACUCUUCCAAUUAGUUUUAAAGAAAGCUGAAGAAAUGGACAAUGAUGGAGAAAAGCCAACCAGAUGUGAUUCUCCCCUUCCAGAAGCAGAGAGCUUAUCUCAUCCCAUGUGAUCGAUGCCGGUCCUGGGGAAGACUGACUGUGUAGAAGUGAAUGGAUUUCCAACAUACCAAUCACAGAAGAAACAAGGGUAUAUUUAGCAAGUCUAAAACCUCUUCGAUAAACUGCAUUGCUUUUCAUUUGCACCGUAAGGUCAUAAAGCCAGUGGAUGGUAAGAAGGCCGUGGUAACGACACAGCGUGUACUCCCAGGAAGUGUGUGGGAUGGGGAUGUUAUAUCUGAAAGGACAGGGCAUCUGGGAGGAUGAACUGCCCAUAACUCUCAAUUGUCCAGGUAAUGAAGCAUUGGAAAGCAAAGGCAAAUGAAAUACUUUGAUAAUCAAAAAUGAUGCUUCUUGUAGUGAUCCUAUUAGUUGACUGAUGAUGACAAGUGUGAAAUUGUGAGCUGUAUUUUUACCAUUUCUGGCACUCAUGGCCCAUUUCUGUUGAGUGCAUUUAUGCAGAAAGUGGGAACCCGGACAAUUUCCAUAGACCAGGCUGUUAACCCAGAAGAUGUAAAAUUUCACAGCGUGAAGGAUGAGGGUUGAAGAUUAGUGAGGGACUAAAAUUUCUUGAGGCCCUACAAAGAAUCCGUAGAAGAACUGGUAACUACACUGAUUGGCUCUGGGAAGUCCUAAAGCUCGUGUUCUAACCUUGAGCUGUGAGGGUGUGUGCUGGGUACGCGGUGCUCACUCAUGGUGUUGUCGCUGGUCAUGUUCUGUUAGCCCAAAGCCUGUUGGAGACAGAAGGGACCUUAUGAAUCAUGUACCCUGGCCCUCCUGGUUUAAACUGACGCUCACAGAGGUGUAAUAAUGUGCCCGAAGUUCCGUUCCUAGUAAAUAGCAAGGCUGUGAGAAGAGUACAGGUCUUCUGCUUCCACACCCAGUGUUCCUUCCACGUGGAUGCUGUGCCAGGAUGCUCAGAAAUUCCAGGAAUGUACAAAACCAAGCUCCUGCCCUCCUAGGAAAGCCCCCUGAGGAUAUUACAGUGUGUACACAAGUUAACCCAGCACGAGGUAGUUGACACGUAUGAAAGUCAGUGCGCGCCAUGUGGGUUCUACAGCAAUAAUAGAACAUUAUCAGUAAUUGUUAUUUUUUUUUUAAAUCCCACUAGGCAUUUUUAUUAUAUACAAAUGAGCUUGUGAACUUGUGGCUGUGUCCAAUAAGACCAUUCUAAAGCACAGUGACCUUGCUGCCUGUGGCUCCGUGCUCUGAUUCAGUACGAAGUAAAAUAGAGGCUAUGGAGGGGAAUAUCUUGUCGUUAGCGUCUGCGUGGGCGGUUAUGCUAGCUGGAGCUGGCCACAGGGGAGGCGUCUGUCAGCCGCUGCCCUCUUUCCUCGAGGCAGAGGAUUUAUACAGAUGCUCAGAAGCAAGUCUGCCAAUGGAAUGCUAUAUAGCCAGGAAAAAUCAUGUUGUAGUAGAAAAAUAGCUUUUGACGGGAAAAUGUCAGUCACUUAUUAGUGAAGAGUAGUAACUUUCAUAGUAGUAUACACAGAAUGUCAUCAUUUUUGUAAGGAAUUACCCUGUGUGUGUGUGUGUGUGUGUGUGUGUAUUAAUAUGGACCCAUCUACACCUUGAUAAUGAAAUGAUAAGAUGGUUAUUUCUGGAUUGAUUACCUCUGGUGUUAGUUUUUUUUUUUCUCUGUGCUCUUCUAUAUUUCUGACUUUGCUGUGUUACACAUGUAUUACUUUUGUAACUAGAAAAAAAUAAAUCUUACUUUUUUUUCUCAGAAAAAGAUUGUGUGUUGUGAAACUGGGGGUACUUUGAAGGAACUAAUUCUGAGCUUAGUAUGUUAUACAGAAUUUCUGGGUGUUUCAGGAUAGGCCAAGUUUACUGGCCCAAAGAGUAGUACCUUUGAUGGUCACAUUCAGCCAGGAACGUCAGGAAGACAAGGGUCGUUCAGCUUGAAUGUGAAAAAAAGUGUCAGAUAGUGGAAUUUCUUGCCCCUUUAGGACACUGUCUUUUAAGUAUUUAUACCAUGACCUCCAAGCCGAGAAACAUACUACAUUGUGAGCCAGUACAGACAACACACACACACACACACACACACACACACACACACACACACACACACGGCACAUGGGUGCAGUAAACUUUUCACAUAAAAUAUUUAUCCUUUACCUACGAUGUGCUGUUAUUUUUGCUCUAUUAUUUACAGGCAAGAUACAAAUCUCAAGCCACCAAAUUGGUUUCGUGAUCUGUUUAUGGGCUGCCUCUUACAGUUUUAAAAACCCUGUCCUGGGUAUGAACGGGUGGCCUGGCAGUAGGAGGGAGGGUGUGAGGGAUGGACUGUUUCCACAGUAACUGAUGUUGGACUCCAGGUGUUACUCAUGAUUUCAGGGAGGAGGUGGGGGAGGGAAAAUAAUGUAAAUACUCUUUAUUUGUAGUCAUAUGGUAUCUUUAUGCCACUUUUAGCACAUGUUCAUUAAUACCCUGUUACAUUUAAAAUUUUUAAAAAAAUUUUUUAGAUUUAUUUAUUUUUGAGAAAGAGUGAGACAAAGCGUGAGCAGGGGAGGGGCAGAGAGAGAAGGAGACACAGAAUCGGAAGCAGGCUCCAGGCUCUGAGCAAGCGGUCAGAACAGAGCCUGACACGGGGCUCGAACCCAUGAGCUGUGAGUUCAUGACCUGAGCUGAAGUCGGACACUCAAGUGACUGAGCCACCCAGGUGCCCCAAUACCCUGUUGCAUUUAGACAUGCAUCUGUCUAGACUGGCUUAGAAUGUAAAUUCUGGGAUCCCCUUUGCUCGGGUUUGUUGUCACUGUGUCAAGGCACGAGGGUGGCAUUCUUUGAUUCAGCAACUGUUUUCUGAGCCCCUUGCUUGUGCCAGGCACUGUGCUAGGCUCUGGAAGAAAGCAGCAAACCGGAGAGGUCAGAUCCCUGCCUUCUGGGAUUUUAUGUUCUGGUGGUGGCAUCUCUCAGUGAAGCCCGUGGUUUGGGUCACUUCUGAUGAUUCUCUGCUAUGAGUGUCUUAGACUUUGCCUUUUUCAGCCAGUUCCUCAUACGUGCUUUGACCCUUCCCCUCUUCUUCUUCCCAGCCCAGUCUCCCAUCUCACGUCCCAAUCUCUCUUGGCUUCUUGAAAGUCUGCAGUCAUUUUCAGAUAAGGCUGUGAGGUAAGACUCACCCUCUCCCUCCUGCAGUUCUCGUGACCCCUGCCUUCUACAGUAGUCAGUCAUGUGGGCCUUGCUCACGCAGUAAGCACGCAACCUCUUCCUUUGCCAGGUUCCUUUAUACUGUCUUACGGUGUGAAUUUCCUGGGUAGGUGUCUAGUCUGUCCAAGAAGACCAGCACCAUGGUUUAUUAUUUUACCCCUGCACAACGCUUUGCAACAGAGGAAGUGCUCAUUAACUGUGCAGCGAAUCCCUUUGACAUUGCCCUGCCAAACUGGUCACUUGUUCAGUAGAAUCACCUCUACAUUUCCCAACUCUGCCAGCGUAGCUUCUAUUUGCUUAUAUUUCCAGCUGGGCCUUGGGUUUGGACCCAGCUGCCCUUGUUUGUCCCAUUUCUUUCUCUCUUGGAUCCGCCAGUCCUCCCCUCAGUAGCAGGUUCAGGCCUGCUCCAGUCUUGAGCAACGCAGAUGAAGGAAGGUUGGACGUGUCGGGAAACAAGCGUGCAUGGUUGUUACAUGCUCCCUGCUGGGAGUGAGACAGACCUGGGCCAGAGGCCCGGGUGUGCUGGGUGCUGGCUGUGUGACUUUAGGUAAGUGAAUUCACUGCUCAGUCUGUUUCUUUUAUCACCUAAAAACUAGAGAUGUUUAUGAUGCUGGCUUCCCGAGGUGGUUGAGGAUCACCUGUGAUCAUGCGUGCGUGGCACCUGCCAGGAUGCCUGGUGCACAUCAAGUGUAACUCUAGUGAUGGUGGUGAUGAUGGGCACAUACAGAAACAGGGGGUCCACUUGCCCCCUCUCGCCUGUCUCCUCCUCAAGGUCUUCGGCUCCCUUUCCUUAGAGCAUUUCUCCCUGGUUCCGCGUGGUUGCUCUGUGAAACAAGCAAGAGCAUCUGAAGGCAUCUAAAGCCUUUUCCUCCUUUUCCUGACUGGAUCUGCCCCAGUCGCUCAGCUCAACUACCAUGGGCUGGAUUCUUGUGAGGACGAAUCACUUAAGCUCAACCCUGUGAGCCACUUGGGUUUCCGGAGCUUAUACCCCACACCUUCCAGUGAACCAGAAGAGGGCUAUGUUUGCCUGUCCCCUUCCCCCGUCCGUACUAUUUGUUCAGUCCUGCUGGCUGCCCCCUCCAGACAUUGAGGCUGUGGGAGCACCCUCCUUCCCACUAUGCUCCGGAGCUCUCUCCCGCCUCAUUUCUCAGCGACCCGUCAUCAUUCCUUGCCCUCCCUUCCCCUUUACUCACUUUCUCCUCCCUGCCAAAAAUCACGUUGGAGAAGCCUGUCUGCGAGGGUUCCAUUCAACUUGUUCUACAUUAAUGUUCCACUACGGUGACCCACUGCUGAGUCUUUCACUUGUAAUGUAAUCUAAUAAUUUACAUGCAUUUUGCAAGCAAUACUCUCAGAGACUCACAACCUGCUUGAAAUUGCUCUGCUGUUACAGCAGUUGAACUGAUGAGAGAGACGAGUGUGAGAAAGAGUAGUUAUGGGGACCACAAUGGUAUUGGGUAAACCCAGGAAAAUAAUAUUAGUGUAAGGUGAAGGUGUGCUGAUGGAUUAUAAUAUCCUUUCUUAGAGAAUCAAUUAAACUCGCUGAGGGUCUGGUAUUGAUUUUGACUUAUAAUUGGACUAGGAUCGGUCAAAGUAUAGCCGGUAGAAGCAUUAGCAGGGAACAGGAAGAGGACCAAGAGUGGAAGCCUGUCUUUCUCGGAGGCUGUGAAAAUGUUUUUGUUUGGAUACACUACGUGACUUUUACAGAAUUAAUUGACACUCUGAUUAGGUUGUUUUAUUUCUUUACUCGAAGAUGUUGGAAGCCAGUUCUCAUAUGCGGUAGUAAUGAAAAUAGAGUAAUGCUGUAGUAAUGAUGCCGUUGUAAAGUGAAUUACACUAUUAAUUAAGCAUCUAUUUGGUCUCAUUUGUAUUGUGCUAGUGUGGGUGAUACACAUACACAGACGUAGAGUAGCUGGUUUUUAAGAGACAAACUGUAGCUGAGAAGCCCCGAUCCUAUAAUAAUGAACAGUCAGUGAAAAUAAGCCAUUGUUCAGUGAAAAAGUUUUUAUGUAUUUAUAAUGUAUGUAUAAUAUACUUACGUGUCUAUAUAAAAUACACAUAUUUUGUGUAUGUACGUAUUUACACACACAUGCACAUGCAUCCAUAUACACAUAUACACGGGCACAUGCAUAUGUUAUGACUGUCAGGGUGAUCAAGAAAAUAUAGGGUGACUGUGGCCUAGAAAUGUUUGCCUUCUGUUGCCUUUUAACAAGUUGGCUAGCUUGCAUGGGGAGAGGUGUCUGUUAUGGCAGGCCAAGUCAAUAAUGGUAUCAAAGACAGGGUUUGAAAACAAAGCUUUGUGUAUUUUUUGCAACCAUUUGGUUCUUAUUAUGGUGUCUGAGAAUCUCUAUUUAUUGAUAUUUCUCAGGUGGGGGAAGAAACAUUAAGGCCCAGGAACUAGGGUCAUUUUAUUUUCUGUCAUUGAUCUCCCAAGGAAGGGCAUUGGCCAAAGAACUUCCUCCACGGCAGAAAGGUAGAGGCAUAUUUUUAUGCCUUAAGUCAUAAGCCAACCCUAGAGCAGAAACAGGAUCUGGGAAGGCAGCAUCCAGUGUGGUUGCUCCCAGUGGGACAUGGAAAUUAGAAAGUCCACAAAUCUAUCACAUUUGCCAUAGAUCCAGUAACUUUAGCCCUUCACUCCUGGGAGCACUGGCGUGGGUGGGGUCGUUUGGCAUUGUGUGUGAGUUUCUAACUAAGAGGGUGGUAUUUCCAGUGAGGUGCUGAAGACUUCCCUCGGGCGUCUCUAGCCUGGAUUGCUCUGGUUUUGUGCAAUAGCCAUCUGGAAGAGAUCUUCCUGCAGUGGCCAUCUAGAAGGCAUUUUAUUGUAGUCUCCAUCUCUCCCCUCCACUUGCUUCAGAAUUUUGCUUUGCAGCAUUGUCAAUACCACCACUUGGUAAUCUGUAACCUCAGAAAGACCUCAUCCAGAGAGGUGAGAUUAUAUGUAGCUUAGAAUAUAUUUAACUUUAAUGUAUAUAACACUUGCUCUGAUGACCAAAAUGUUGAAAGCAAAUUUGCUGCAUAAACAACGGUGUGCUCACUGCGUCACAGAUCAACAAUGUUGAUUGUAGUCUCUGAGUAUUUGAGGAGAGAGGACACAGCAUCAGUGCCUGGAGGGUGGAUUAAGAAUAUAUUUAGUGGAGGGGCGCCUGGGUGGCUCAGUCGGUUAAGCAUCCGACUUCGGCUCAGGUCAUGAUCUCACAGUUUGUGGUUCAAGCCCCAAAUCGGGCUCUGACAGCUCGCAGCCUGAAGCCUGUUUCAGAUUCUUUGUCUCCCUCUCUCUCUGCACCUCCCCUGCUCAUGCUCUGUCUCUCUCUGUCUCAAAAGUAAAUAAAAACAUUAAAAAAAAAAGAAUAUAUUUAGUGGAGAGAUUUUAUUGCAAACCUCAAUGAAAAAAAUAUCAAUAUCAUAUUGUGCCUAAUAAAAUGUUAUAAUGAAAAUUGCCGUGAUGUUUGACAACAUCCCUUUAUUAAUUAGUCUUUUUCAUUAUUAUUUCUUAGUAGCAAAUACACUCUGGUUUUAUCGCUCAUUAGUUAUAGUCCUUAUCGAAUUCAUGUUUUGCUAAUUCGACGUGUUUAUCUCCACAUUGGUCUCCGAGACGUUCCUUGAGGGCAGUGUUGUAGACUGUCUUGAAUCUUCGGUCCCCUAUCUCUGUUACUUGGACAUUCAGUGAAUGCCUUUAGGAAGCCAGUGACCGGGCAGUUUAGAAUCAAUAUGUGUAAGAUGAGCCAGCAGAGGGAAGACUAGGAUGAGACAAAAAAAUCUAAUAUUCUUCGAAAGCCUCAGAUGUUUAAAUGUGAUGCAAUAUAUUGCCUCCUUUCAUUCAUUCAUCAACUAUUUAUUGAACAUUUGCUAUGUGCCAAGUCACAUGUUGGUCGGUGGAGGUACAAGUUGAGUUAAAGGGAAGUGAUAGGCAGGAAAGACCCAGUAAUUUCAAAAAAAACGUGGAGAGUGCUAUAACAGAGAUACUUACAAAAUAUAUAGCAUACAGAAGAGGGAGGAAACUCUUCAUGAGGAGUUAGGGAAAGCUCACAGGUAGGUAGCUUUGCCUGGUUUUAGGGAAAAUGGGGAGAGAUUUACCAAGGAGGCAAAAAGGCCAAGGUACAGGAGAUCAGAGUUCAUGGCGCAUUCAGGGAGGGUGAAUGAGGUGUAGCUCGGCAUGAAGUAUGUUGGCAAGGACGAGGGGAUGAAGCUGGACGAAGUGGGCAGGGGCCAGGUAAGCCUUUUGGACAUUUUGCUAUGCAAAAUUUUGAGCAAGUGACAAAUACGAGCUUUCUUUUUCAUAAGAUCCCGUAAACACAAGUGUGUUUGAAGUUGGGAUGGAAAAUCGACAGUGUCGAUAAGGAGCCAAGCUAGGACAUCUCUGUGUCGGCUGUGCAGAGACAUACUGCAGGCCAGGACUCGGAUGGAGGCGGGCUGGGCUGUGAGGUAGCAUUUCUCGGGAGGUAGAAUGGAAGGCUCACGAGGGAGGUAGUGUCAGGAGUCAGUACCUGAGCUGGGUGGAAUUACUGGCUGGGACAGUCUGGGGUGGGAUGUGAAAGGGGGGAAGGCCUGGGUUCCCAGGCUUAGUUGGAGGUCCUGGGGAAGUGUCUGAUGGGCAACUGGAAAUCUGGGGCUGGCAGGGAGAGUGUUAGUCGGGGAAUCGGGAGAAACAGUUUUUAACAAGGGCCUGGAGCUUAGGAGGGACAGCUGGGCUGGAGGCGUUCUGGAGCAGUGUUUUUAACAGGGGAUUGGAAGGUGAAAUUUUUAUACCAGGACAUGUGUACAUGUUUACAUCAAGAGAAGAUAAGCCCAAGGUCCAAGUGGGUGUGGUUGCGAAACUAAAAGGGAUGGAUUGUUGCAGUGACAGAGAAAAGUGUCUCAGAAGACUGGCUUUAGACUUGGCAAUUUUACAUUUACUGAAGCCAUUACAAAAAACAAACAAACCAAGAAUGUCUUUAAAGUCAGAGUGAGGCUCUGAUACGUGUUGCUGCUGCUGGUUGUAUUUGAGUUUUAUCUGCUUUGAUGGUGGUCUCCUUCCCAUCAUGUCUAAUUGAUGACUAUAGACUUGUUGCUCUACUCUCCCGCCCCCCCCCCCCCUUUUCUUAACUUUCUACACAGCUCAGCAUUGAUUUAUCCUGUCUCUAAAGGGAAUCUGCCUCACACUUGGCAGAACCUCAAGGUUGGGAGAAAUGGAAUGAAUAGUAGCCGUGGAGAGGUCUCCACAUUGCCCUGGGAGAAAGGCUUCGUGGGAGAGAGAGUUGAAAGAGGGUCUUGAGAAAGGGUGUGAGAUCUUCAAAGGAUGGGGUCUGGCCAUGGGAAACUAAAUGGGAGACUUUUUUCUUUGUAGUUGAGAGAGAAACAGAAGGGCACAAGUGUUUGUUGGCAUUGAUUAUGAGUGUGGUGGAAUUGGCGCUCUGUGUUUCUGACACGUAACUGUUUUCAGGGGGCGUCCACGUAUGCGGUAGCCUCUGGAGGUCCUGGAAAGGAGUUGAUAGUGUCACAGCUCACGGAGGGACCAGAGAGGUGUUGUGUCAUUAGGGAGACCUGUUGACUUAAAACAAGUGGGAUACUGAUAGGCCAAACUUAUCUCGGACUCCAAUGAGCGUGACAGGAGGGGCUUUGCCUGUCGGAAGGGCCGUUCCUUUGCCUUCUGAGGCAGAUAGCAGAGCUCCCCAUUGUUUUCAGUGAGCUCUGGCUAAAUACUUUCCCUGUAGAUAUUCCACUAAUAUAUCCUAUGAAUUAUUUGUGUUAUCUCUGCGCUGUGAAAUUAGAGGCCUUCACCCACAGUGUGGUAAGCAGAUUAAAACGAAAGCCUGUUUUUUAUGGUAUGGGGGAAACCGGGCAAAUAAUCAGGGAACCAUUUUUUGUGUGUUUGAUCUGACAGUGGGGAGGCCUUGGGAUGCCAGUGUCUUCUAAAAUCUGAAAGCUGAGCUCCGGCUGGAGUUUUCUUCAAAGAGGUUUAUAUUUUAUCCGUUGGCACUUCUGAGGGGGAAGGAAGGUUUGGAGUGGGUGAUUCUGCGAUGAUUCUUUUCUCGCUGCUGUUUUUCUUCUCCGUCUUUUUAACUUUGCAGAAAGCCCUUCCAGUUCUACGGUCAGACCCCAUUCAGGACGUUGGUGGCCAAACAGUCCCCUUUUGUUAAGCGAGCGUCCUAUUUUUGUUUCUCUUGAAAGGUGCCCUUCAGGACAGCAGAGUCUUUAUUUGGGCUGUUUAGAAUCAAGCCCUGAAGAAACCUAGUUAGAAAUUGUUCUAAACCCAGGCCAAGUGCCUCCUUUGCUAGCGAGGCAAAGCUAAACCCACAAGAUGAAAUCUAACCAGCUGGUUACCUGAGAACCACCGUGGGGAGUUCUCCAGCUUGACUUCUCUUGCUCUGGCCGCCAUCCCAAGAGUGAACGCUGAGGGUCAUGGCCUUUCUGUGCAGAGAUGCAGAAAGAGAGUUCUGGCUCUUGGUGAAGAGGCGUAGGUUGGUUUAUGUUUUAAAGGGUCCUGUGUCAGCUCGCAAAAACGUGGAGGAUUAACGUGUAUUCAAUUAAUCGAUUUCACUUGCCUUUUUUCAAAGAAAAAGGUUAUCGAUGGCUUUAGCCUACCACAGAUAGGUCCAGGACUCCCACUUCUGCCCUUUUCUUCCACAAAUUAGGUAAACUGAGUCCUUUGAGAGCACUGGGGCAUGUGUAGGAUUUGAUAAUUUGGAGGUUAUGCAUAUGAGGUUAUUUUAUUUUCUUCUGUUAUAAUAGAUAUGGGCCCAACAUCUGUGAUUUGAAACAGAAUCUUCGUUCCUUCCCCCAAACCAAAGAUCCUCUGGUUGAGGGCUCAGACGGGCCUCAUUGCACAAGUACUGCCUUCACUUUGUGGAGUUUUUCUGCCCACUUGAGAGAUCACCUGGGUCAUUCAGGUGGCCUGGGGAAGAGUGUUGGUCUUUGUUAGAGAAAGAAAGAAAGACUGGCUGGACAAGUUAGAUCCCUAGGGGCAGUUUGGAGCCUCUCGAGCAUGAGGUCAUCGGUAUAUUUAAAUUCUCAGCUUCCACACACACUGGUCAGCGACGCUCCACCCCCUCCUCGCUCACUGCAUAUUUUCUCUUGUGUUUCCAGAGGAGAUCUCUGCCUCUUGGGGAUCCCCCAGCCUCCUGGGAGCAACCAUGCCACUGGUCCCUGUGUACACAGACAACUAAAAAGUGAAGUGGUUUGGAGAUAGGCGUCAUUUUAAGGCUAAAGUCAUACAUUUUAGAAAGUUGAGGGCUGGUUCUGUGACAGGGAAGUUGAGCUAAAUAUGCAGUUCUAUUUUAAUUUUCACUUUAUGCCAAGGCAAAAGCAUUGGGAGAUAGGCUAUAAAUGUAUAAGUAAGUCACUGCAAGAAUAGCCCUUGCAAAAUGCAGAUUUAGGAAGGCUAAAUAUUUUCUCACAUACUUUAAUGCACACGAAUAACUAACCCCUGAUCCAGUUCCUGAGAAAGGGAUGUUGUAUAACCACUUAACCUUGAUCGCUGUCGUGAAUCGUACAGAAGUCUGCUUAGCUGUGUUGUAAGUAUUUGGUUGUCUUCACUCCAGCCACAAAAACAAAAUACCAGAGACUGGGUACAUUAAACUACAGAACUUCAUUUUCUCGUGGUUCUGGACAUUGGGUUGUUCCAGACCCAGGUCCUGGCAGAUCUGCUGAUUAUUGGUGAGGGCCCUCUUCCGGCUUGCAGGCAGCUGGCUUCUUAUGAUAUCCUCACAUGGAGGAGAGGGAAAGUUCUGGUGUCUCUUCCUCUCCUUAUGAGGGCACUAAUCCCAUCAUGGGGACCCCAACCUCCUGACCUCAUUUCAAUCUAAAUUACUUUCCAAAGACCUCACUUCCUAAUAGCACCACACUGGGGGCUAAGGGCUUCAAUGUAUGAAUUUGGAGGAAACACAUACGCGUAAUCCAUAACACCGGUUGAGGCUUAAAGCCUGCUAAAAAUUUUCAGGGCGGUCGAUUUGUCUCCAAAAAGUUGUUGCACGUUCUUAACGUGUUCAUUUGUUUGUUUAAACAGAGUCCUAUUUUUCUAUGUAUGUUUUAUCUUCGGCAUGGCCGUGUCUCAUCAUAUUCCGGUACUGUUUGAAAGCUGCAGUAGUAAAGCCCAAGGUAAUUAAGGCUGUGGUAUCAUUGUUUUAAAUUAGCAUGUGUGAUUUUUUUUUUUUUUUUGUAAUUCAACAAGUUCCUUCAUAUUCUGCAUAAUUGGAUCACAUUUUAAUUUUGUGGCAAAUAAAGAUCUAUUUUACAUUUCUAUUAGAAAGACAAGCCCCUGUGGCUAGGUCUGAAUUAGGAUACUUGCUGUUGGUUGUACUGAAGGAGCAAGACUUUCAGAGUUCAUUCAGCUUCUAAAAAACUCACCUGUGAAUCUUUUGGGUCAGGAAAGAAUCUUUGAUUUAAAGGUAUACACAGGCAUAGAGUUCAUGUGAAAGAAAAUAUCGAAACAACAAGAAAAUGAAAUAUAUAAGCACUCACUGCAAGCAAAGAAUAACAAAAUCAUGGAGUAUCCAGUAUAUGGUAUAGACUCCAAGAGCAUAUCAGUCUUUGACUCUGGCAUAUCUGUUUGUGAAUACAUUUUGUUAUUUGCAUGGUUAAUGCCCUGGGAGUUUGCAUGGAGCAAAAUAACGAAGAUAUCAAACCAGAGAGUGCACCAGACACAUAAUUGAGAGGCCUAGGUUCUGAUCCCAUCACCGCCAUUAAUUACAUAAGUGGCUUCGAGCAACUAGUUGUCCCCCAACCCCCACCCAUUGCCUCACCUUCUUCAGGUGUGCUCCACGUGUAGCUCAGGGAUGCACUGAAUUACAAGUUCCUGCCAUUUCUGUCAUUCUAUGACCUCGUGACGAAGACCCAGCUUUUUUUUUAAUAGGUUUUUUUUUUUAAUGUUUAUUUAUUUUUAAAAGAGAGAGACCAACUUGAGCGGGGGAGGGGCAGAGAGACACAGAAUCCGAAGCAGGCUCCAGGCUGAGAGCUGUUCAGCACAGAGCCUGGCGCAGGGCUCGAACUCAUAGACCACAAGAUCAUGACCUGAGCUGAAGUCAGACGCUUACCCGACUGAGCCACCCAGGCGCCCCCAAAGACCCAGCUUUUUUGAGGGUCCAGCAGAGAAUACACUUUUCUUAUUGUCUUUACCUUAAAGUUGAAGCAUAAUUUACAUCUCAUAAAACCACCCUUCUUAAUUGUACAAUUCAAUGAUUUUUAGUAAAUUUAUAGAGUUGUACCACUACCUGCAUAAUCUAGUUGUAAAACAUUUCUGUCUCCCCCGGAAGAGCCCUCAUGCCCAUUUGCUUUUAUUACCCCUUCCUACUCCCAAGCUGAGACAGCCAUUAAUCUACUUUCUAUCUCUACAGAUUUGCCUUUCCUGGAAUUUAUUUAAAUAAAUCAUAUAAUGUGUGGUCUUUUGUGUCUGUCUUCUUUCACUUAGCAUCAUGUUUUUGAGGUUCAUCGAUGUUAUGGCAGGUGUCGGUACCUCGGUCCUUUUUUAGAGCUGUGUACUAUUCUGUUGUAUGGAUAGACUUCAUUUUGUUUCUGCAGUCAUCCUUUGAUGGGCUCCUUUUUCUUUCUCUCAUUUUUUUUCCUGUGUGGGCACUUCUCACUGUAGCCUGCUCCAAAUGAGGAAAGGAUGCAUCUCUUUAAGAGAAAUGCUAAUUCUUUAUCUCCUGGCUUCCUUCGUGGAGGAGGCUAGAGUUUUGUGUUUUAAACUCUUUGAAAGCUCCCAAGUGGCCUGAGCUCAAUGAACAUGUGAUGAAGCAGUAUAUAGUAUCCAUCAGUAAAUGUGAAAGUACUUUCAUUCUUUUCUGUGCAUUCUUUUCUGUGAUGUAGACCUAACAUAAAUAUGAGGUUUCCUCAUUAGGAAAUGUGACUCAAAACCUUUCCCAAUGAUAGCCUGCUUGUUGUUUUAUAUUUGUUUUACACAUUGGGUAAUGAAAUACUUGAAAGCAAGAGUUAAAGACACUGGCUGUUACCCUGACUUAGUAAUGUCACUUUUAGCAUUUUCCUCUGGAAGUCAUCAGAGUUAUUAUGAGCAACAACAAAUCCAGAGAGGGAAAUACUUGCAGAGAAAUUUGUGCCUUGCUUUUCAGCUGUGAAUCAAAAAGACUACUAAAUAUAAUUGCAAAGAAAAGGUAGGUAGAAGGAGAAGGGGACUAAUUUAAAUGUUCAGGCUACUGACUUUUUUUUUUUAAUUUUUAAAAAUGCAUUUAUUUUUGAGACACAGAGAGGCAGAGUGCAAGUGGGGGAGGGAGGGGGGGGGGAGAGGGAGACACAGAAUCCAAAACAGGCUCCAGGCUCCAGUCUCUGAGCUGUCAGCACAGAACCCGAAGGGGGCCUCAAACCUAGGAACCGUGAGAUCAUGACCUGAGCGAAAGUCGGCCAGCUGAGCCACCCAGCGCUCCCAGGCUAUUGACUUCUUAAAAGAGAUGCCAUACACGAGAGGACUCUAGUGAUUUCUAUGCUCGGUGUUGGUUUUGUUCUGUGGGUGAAGAUGGGCGUGCAUUUCCAGUCGGUAAGCUCCUAGCUAAUGGAGGGUAGUAACCUGGCAUCCCAGAUGCUCCUCAAAUUGUUCUCCAGUUUAGAGUUUACUCUGAAAAUGUGGUUGAUCUGCAGUAUGUUUCCAUCUUCGGCUGCUCCCAGGUCCAUUCAAUUUCCUGGAAUCCAUCCUUGGCUAGUGCCUUAUGUAGAAUGAGGGAGAAAGGCUGCUCCAUUUGCUUCCUCCUCUCCAUACGGUAGACGUGUUUUGUCGCCAUGCUGUGCUCUGCAUUUCAGAAAGGUUGGAAUCACAGGUGAUGUGUGUGUGCACAUGUGUGUGCAUGCAUGAAGAUGUAUAUAUAUGUCUACACAUACACAUUUGUGUAUAUUCACAUACAACAUAUCCUUCCAGCUGAUUAAUAGGGCUUGACUUAUGAGAACCAGCAACUUGACUUAGUUUUAUUUAGCACUCAAAUUACGAAUAGCAUCAGCAAUAUCUUUUGGAAUUUAGGUUAGAUUGUUUACUCUUCCCAGUGAUGGAAAUGAUGUUGAGAGCAUCAUACCCUGCCUCUUGGGUCCUGGGAAGGCUUUGCCUUGGUUGAAUCCGUAUGUAGGGUGUUCUUUUUUUUUUUUUUUUUUUUAAGUUUCAUUUUAUUUAUUUUGGGGCGGAAAGGGCAAAGGGAGAGGGGGAGAGAGAAUCCCAGGCAGGCUCUGCACUGUCACCACAGAGCCUGAUGUGGGGCUCCAUCCUGUGAACAGUGAGGUCAUGACCUGAGCCAAAAUCAAGAGCCGGAUGCCUAACUGACUGAGCCACCCAAGCGCCCCAUAUGGUAGGUUGUUGUACAGAAAGAUAAACUAGGGCAUUCUGUAGUCAACGCCAGACCCUCCUUUGUACAGAGCCUGAGAUAAGGUAGCUGUGGGCAGAGAGGGCCGCCCAAGGCUCUGUGCCUCUAGGCCUUCCGGAAGAUGAGCAGGCUGCAUCCAGUCAUGACCACGUUUUUAUCCUUCUCUCCUACAGCUUUAAAGAGGGAAAAAUUUUCCUUCUCUCAGUAAGGAGGAAACCAGUUGGGAAAAAAGUGUCCCCGUCUCUUACUUUUUUUGGUGGUGCAGUGGGGGAGAGAAGACCGGUGCACUUUUUUUUACUUGGAACUGUGUUACUGUAUCAUCAUGUUGAUCAUUACUAGGUUAUUUACGUAUGAGUCUAACUUGUGAGAUCCUUGGGGAUCGGGAUGCGGUGGAAUACUUUUAUGUUUUUCGGGAAACUCAACACAGUGGUUUGCAUACAACAAGCACUCCACUAUAGUUUUGUGAGUCAGGAUGAUGAAUAAAUACUUUCGACCCAGCAAACUGUGUUUGUGAGUAUGUUAGUAUUCACAAUGCCCCCUGGCACUGUUGCUGGGCACCAAAGAGAGAAAUCAAAGACGGAAUCUCUGGCUCUUUCCCUCUCUACCUCCUCAGCACCACCUUCCUUCCUUGUAUAACCACGUAUCCGGUUCCUGUGCUUGCCAGGCACUGUGCUGGGGGCUGAGGUUAACAAAAUAAGAAUAAAAUACUAUGUGUGUCUUGUAUGAGUUUGCAAGAACACGUAUCCUGGAACGGGAGAUGUGAUUUGAUAGGCGUUCACAAUAGUUAGAAGCUCCUACUUAUUGAACCCUUGUUCCAGGUCCGAGGCGCACUAGCUCAUCCUUAAAAGUCUCUUGCAUCCCUAGGAGAUAAGAAUUAAGACCCCCAUGUUGCAGAUGAGAAGACUGAGGCCUAGAAGAGUGGGUUAGGGUCCAGAAUGUCCAUACCACACUGACCAGUGCAGCCCCCUCCCUCCCCCUAAUGGUGAUAAAUGUGUCUACCUAACAGCCCCAGUGCCCUGGGGUCCUUUCCCAUCUCUGUUUAUGCUCUUCUCCAUCUGCCGAGGCAGGAAGUUUUAGUCUAGGCAAAGGCAGCUCCUUGGAGUUGUUCAGCCAAGUCAGCUGACCACAGCCACCCCUGGAGAUUGCUUUUUUUUUUUUUCUUUUCUAACUUUCUCUUGCCCUCUGCCUGUUCCUGUGGCAGCUCCUUUAUCCUUCCGGUUGCAGGUUUUCCUUUUAUUCCUUAGGUAUCCUGUUGCCCUUUCUGGGCCUGAGAUGGUCAUGCCAGAGAACUCCUUGAGAUUUAGCUGUCUUCCUUGCCGUCUUAGCUGACUUCCGGCUGGCUAGACAAAGUGAAACUCCGAUCUUGCUGGAGGAGCUCCUGCGUGCAAUCCUGACAAGUAACUUUAACCAAUUGUUGAAAGCAACCUGUGCUUGCCGCUUCGCAGAUGUGUGUGCCAUGGAUGAUGAAUACGAGAGAUGCAGAUUUUACCACACAUCAGAGCACGUGAACACAAGGUCGACACAUCCUCAGGGCCUCCCCACCUCGUCCAGUGCUUUGCAGCCCUGACAGGAACUGCCAGCAGAGAAGUUGCUGAACUUGGCAUUGGCUGGGGCAUGGUUUUAUUAAGCCAGACUCUUGUGGGCUUGUUGCCCCUUUCAGGAGAUUGUCCCCACAAGGAGAGUCAUAAUUAUUACCAUGGACCCUUGUCUGGUUCAUUGUUUUUUUGCAAGAAAGAGGGAAACUCAAACUUCAUGCAAGUUAGGAAGCCUUGCCUGGGCCCACAUGUGACACGUUGAUAUUUUGGGGCAGGGUUUGGCCCAGUGUAGGGCAAACAACAUGAGAACAGCCAUGGUGCCGACCAGCACAUUGAAGUUUUUAGAUUGAAAAGCCUGAACAGAAUGUUCAGCUGGAGCUGGGGACAUAUUCCUUUCCUAUUUUAUCUCUGCCAUAAGCCUUGGGGCUGAUUGGAAAACACACCCACUGCAGGAUUUGGAUAGCCAGGAUUUUAUGUUUAUUUCUUAGACCUGCUCACGCAUAGUCUCUCUCCCUCCCUCCCUCCCUCCCUCCCUCCCUCCUCGGUUCCUCCUCCUCCUUUCUCCCUCUCUCUGCUUCUGCCCCUCCUUUCCUCCUUCCUCCCUCCCCACCUCCCUUCCUCUCUCUCCAGCUCUUUUGGGUAGAAAUCUGAAAGCUGCUCAUCAUAUUACUGGUGAGCAAGUAUUCGUUCUCUUUAUAGAACAGUGCUAACUUCUCUGACAUUGACACUAGGGCCCAAGUGAUUUUUGCAAAUGCAAAUCUAAUAUAUCCCUUCCUUGCUUAAACCCUUCGUUGAAUUCCCAUCACUCUUACAGUAAAACCAAACCCUUUAACACAGCCUAAAUUGGCUCCUGUCUAGCUUUGCAGCCUCAUCUUUCACUUGUCCUCCCCACAGUAGUUACCUGCAUACUCUGUUCUCCAGCAGUACUGAAUUGUGCUGCUCAAACAUGCUGUGCCUUCUCCCCGCCUCCACCUGCUUUCCCUUUCACCUGUGUUCUAGCUACUUCAUUCACUUAUUCAUUCAUUCAUUCAGUCAGUCAGUCAGCACUGAUAGAGCACCUCCUGGAGUCAGCUACUGCUCUGAAUCCUAGGGAUACAGUUGUGCACAGACAGACAAGCCCCUGUUGUCCCAGGGAGUUUACAGUCCUUACUUGCUAAUCCUGUUCAUCUGACAGAUCUCAGCUCGGAUUUUCUUCUUCCUGGAAGCUUUCCCUGACCUCUCGCCUCUGGGUUCGACACCUUUCCUUUGCCUUCUGGAGCCUCUGUAUUUCGGCCGUCACAAUACUUACAACUUA